GCAAUUCAUCAACUGUCAAAUCCCAUUUAAUUUUAGAUUAUAGCAAAUAAUUAUAGGUAUGGUGUUCGGCACAGGAGCACUUUUGGACUGCACUGAAAGUAAACUUGUUUGUAAAAUAUUAUUAUUUAUAAAGACCUUGACUGUGUUUAUAAUAUGUGUACCUGCACAAGGACCCUCGGAGUGGACAUGACCAGGUGAUUUGGUGCAUGCCCUAUCAGGCACUUAUCUCCCAUGGCAAUAAUAACAACAACAGGACCUGCAAGCAGGCAAAGCACUCCAAAACCACUUGGCUUGACCAAUAGAGCAGCUUCUCCUUCUGGAGACCCUCAAACCAGGCAACCCCACCCCACUUUGUCCAUCAUCCAUUAUCCAUCUCCCCCCAAACAGCAGUCAAGGUUGCAAUUGUUGCCUACCCAGAUGUGGCAAUGGGGCAUCUAUAAGAUGAACAAUGGGAUUAGACAAUUUACAGCCACCCCUUUCAGUCUCGCUCAGAAAUUUCAACUCAUCCUCGGGGCUGCGGUUGCACUUACUACUUUCAACUCAGAAAUCUGGAAUCGGGGGCGAGAUAGCGACCGUCCAAUGCGAUUAGAUGGGAAAAGUUCUUUCUACAGGAUGUGGUUACAUAACUUGGAGAUUUCGAGGCGACUUGGGGCAGCAGUCAAUGGUUGCCUCUGAUGUACCCAAGUGGCUUUUAUUCUUGGUAACUUGGUGCUCUGAAUAUCCAAUCUUUGCUUUAAAAAUGGCGGACUUCUCUUUAAGAAAACAUGGUGGAACAUUGAUGGAUUAUUUCAAUUUGAUGAAAACUUUUGUUCACUUUCUUUUAGAGGCUUCACUAUGAUAGAUGAGCUAGGAAUGGAAUUACUUUCACUCUUUCAAACUGACUGACUUUUAAAUUUAAUAGAAAGUUUUGUACCCCAAAAUCUAAAGACCACAACAGUCUUAAAGUUAUAAAGAGAACAACUUUCUUCUUCUCUUCGUAAUCGACUUCCCCAUCAUUAGAGCAUUCUUCCCUUUAGCAAUUCGCUCUUCAUUUAUUGAAUUUGCCAAGUUUUGCGGUUCGAAAAUGCAAAAAAUGAAUCCUCAUCACUUAUUAGUUUUUCAUAUAAUUUAAAGAAAGCGAGCCGAGACCGAAAAGAAGUUUUGCCAAUUAUGAAAACUACAAUAAAAAUGCAAAUUUCUGGCAACUCAAGCAAAAUUUCAUGACCGCCAGACAAAAAAUGAAAAAAAGAAUGAAAUUUGGAGUGAAACUUUCAAGUGCAAAGGCAAACCAAAAGUUGGUGAUGAGGUGGAUGAAGGGGUCGGUCUCCAGAAGAACCAGAACCAGAUAAGCCUAACAAAUUUUUUAAAAUAAAUUACAGAGUAGAGCAAACAAAUUUGCAUAUACAAGCGGGGGCCAAAACCCGAAAGAAGGAAAGCGAAAAAAGGUUUUCACGCCACAAAGCAAAUCAAGGCAUUUUUGAAGGGCUCCCCCCACUGAGGCACACAAAAAUGAGUUAUUGCACAUGUUGGGAAGAGUCCGAAAAGUAGACGAAACUCAAGUAUCCAACCUGACUGGGAGCUACAUUUCACAAAUAUUCUUAUAGAGUACGAGGUGUUGGUAUACUAAAAAAGUUAACUUGGAAAGUAAGAAGCUAUUCUUUAAGGACUAAAUUGUUUUCAAAAUAUACUUGGCUUCUUUAUUAAAUACUUUUGU